UGGGGAAUUUUGGACAAUGGGCGAAAGCCUGAUCCAGCAAUGCCGCGUGUGUGAAGAAGGCCUUCGGGUUGUAAAGCACUUUUGUCCGGAAAGAAAUCCUUGGCUCUAAUACAGUCGGGGGAUGACGGUACCGGAAGAAUAAGCACCGGCUAACUACGUGCCAGCAGCCGCGGUAAUACGUAGGGUGCAAGCGUUAACCGGAAUUACUGGGCGUAAAGCGUGCGCAGGCGGUUUGCUAAGACCGAUGUGAAAUCCCCGGGCUCAACCUGGGAACUGCAUUGGUGACUGGCAGGCUAGAGUAUGGCAGAGGGGGGUAGAAUUCCACGUGUAGCAGUGAAAUGCGUAGAGAUGUGGAGGAAUACCGAUGGCGAAGGCAGCCCCCUGGGCCAAUACUGACGCUCAUGCACGAAAGCGUGGGGAGCAAAACAGGAUUAGAUACCCUGGUAGUCCACGCCCUAAACGAUGUCAACUAGUUGUUGGGGAUUCAUUUCCUUAGUAACGUAGCUAACGCGUGAAGUUGACCGCCUGGGGAGUACGGUCGCAAGAUUAAAACUCAAAUGAAUUGACGGGG
rnacentral:rRNA from 1 species